rfam:TPA: Bos taurus chromosome 5, whole genome shotgun sequence.
ACCCGGUUGCCGUGGUUGCAGGCCCGGCCCGCCAGCUUGUCCGCUGACAGCGAGCCAUUAGGGCGGAGGGAAGCGGGUCCGUUGGUCCUUCAGGCACGAGG